UUAGAGGGAUUCCCUGCUCUGCUUUGUUCAUCUAUGUUCUGGGAAAUUUCCUCGAACAUAGAUGAAUGCACCAGAGCAGUGAAUCCCUUAAA